CAAGUCGAGCGAGAAAGUGUAGCAAUACAUGAGUAAAGCGGCGCACGGGUGAGUAACACGUGGAUAACCUGCCUCAAAGUGGGGAAUAACACCGGGAAACCGGUGCUAAUACCGCAUAUUCUGACGAGAUCUGCGGAUUUUGUCAGGAAAGGAGCAAUUCGCUAUGAGAGGGGUCCGCGGCUGAUUAGCUAGUUGGUGAGGUAAUGGCUCACCAAGGCUUCGAUCAGUAGCCGGUCUGAGAGGACGGUCGGCCACACUGGAACUGAGACACGGUCCAGACUCCUACGGGAGGCAGCAGUGGGGAAUUUUUCGCAAUGGGGGAAACCCUGACGAAGCAAUGCCGCGUGGAUGAUGAAGUAUCUCGGUACGUAAAAUCCUUUCGACGGGGACGAAACCGCAAGGUUGACGGUACCCGUAGAAGAAGCCCCGGCUAACUCCGUGCCAGCAGCCGCGGUAAUACGGGGGGGGCAAGCGUUGUUCGGAAUUACUGGGCGUAAAGGGUGCGUAGGCGGCUUUCUAAGUCGGAUGUGAAAACUCUGGGCUCAACCCAGAGCCUGCAUCUGAAACUGGAGAGCUAGGGUUCUGGAGGGGAAAGCGGAAUUCCUGGUGUAGCGGUGAAAUGCGUAGAUAUCAGGAGGAACACCGGUGGCGAAGGCGGCUUUCUGGACAGAUACCGACGCUGAGGCACGAAAGCUAGGGGAGCAAACAGGAUUAGAUACCCUGGUAGUCCUAGCCCUAAACGAUGGAUACUUGCUGUGGGGGGGAUUGAAGCCCCUUGUGGCGAAGCUAACGCAUUAAGUAUCC
rnacentral:rRNA from 1 species